CUAAAGGAAAACUACGUGGUCCUUUGCCUAACUAAUGAAGUUUGAGAGGAGAAAUUGGUUUCGAACUUGGGGCAAAUUCAUAAGAACUGUCUCUUGACUCAAAACAUAGAAGAAAUAUCUUUUGUAGAUUCAAUAUCAAUGGCUACCAAGUGAUUGGGAUUUCAAUUUAUGUCCUUUUCUUUAUGUUUUCUUCUUAAUGCAGAAACUCAAUAUUCUUGUGAUAAUCAUUAGACUCGACUACCAACCACAGGAAAUGAUUACAGUAUUAAUAUUACCCUUAUAUACAAAGUGAAUAUUGUUAUUAUUAUAGCAUUAAUUAUUCAAGCCAAGGUAUGCAUCAAUUGUCUUAAUCUCUUACUAAUAGUGCUCCCACACAACUAUCUCUAAUUGUUGAGUGGAACCCAUAAUACUGGAGCGUGCAGAAUGAUACUCCUCUUGUUGCUGUUACUCUUCAACUCAUUGUAAUCACCAUUAUGAUUUGAGCAAAAUUUUCUUUAAGCAAUUCAUUUUUCUAUUUCAGGAUGCAUAUGAUGGGGCAAAACAUGACUCUCUACAAACAAAUUAACUUGCUAUAUAGACCUUGCCUGAACUUCAAUUUCCUCUAGCUACUGUUCAGUUUUCUCUAUAUAGAAUAAGCGUAGCAAAUUACUUUACAUGAAAUUAUUACACAACAUAAACCAUGCCAACCUCUAGAAGAGACACUGGUGGAACUUUGAGCGCCACAUCAGGGCCCCUGCAGUUCCUUCCAAGGAAAUUAUAUCCAAAAUUAAUAGCCAAUCUCUUCAGGAGAGACGACCCUUGUUUCGCUUGAACAUGCGAAUGCCCUAGUAUAAAUGCAGUACCAGCUUGCUGAGCCGCAAACAGAUCUUCUAGCUCGUCUUUUAACUGCACAUGCAUAUCAGAUUGUGAAUCAUCAUCAAUGGCAAACCUCACUCUUCUUUCAACUAUAGGUUCCAUUUCAAUAACAUCGGCCAUACUUUCUAAUGUCAAAAAUCCACCAGAUACACUUGCUGGCUGGACAGUCUCCUCAAUCUCAUAAGCUGGUAAGCCAGAUAAUGAAUUGGUUCCAAUUACUGUCAGUCUAUAUUCACUCGAUGAUGCAAUGGAUCGAGAAGCAUCAUCCUCAGUACACGAGUUAGUCCCAUGUGCUCGAUGCCAAUCAUAGUUGAUGAAAUCAGCCAGCCUAGCUACAAGCUCAGAUUCAAAAGAAUCAACAUCCUGAUGCACGUCACGGUAUCCAUAACGAACAAUGCAUCUGUAAGAUCUAUGAGAUGGAGGGCCAACACGGCCCACAAGAUACCUCUCAUUAGGGGGCACGUAAGGGACAGGCACUGAUUUUACACACACAAAUACAAGGAUACGAUGGAAGGCAGGAAGGUUAGUGACAAAGCGUGAAAAGUUUGCAGGGAUGCCAGAGGUGAGAUCAGUGAAAACUAUGCCAAUGCCAGGCACUCUAGCAAUUCCUAAGCUUGGACCUAAGGCUAAAAGCCAGUCUAGUGAUACCUUGUUAUGGAGAUC
rnacentral:misc_RNA from 1 species